GAUGAACGCUGGCGGCGUGCCUAAUACAUGCAAGUCGAGCGAACGGACGAGAAGCUUGCUUCUCUGAUGUUAGCGGCGGACGGGUGAGUAACACGUGGAUAACCUACCUAUAAGACUGGGAUAACUUCGGGAAACCGGAGCUAAUACCGGAUGAUAUUUUGAACCGCAUGGUUCAAAAGUGAAAGACGGUCUUGCUGUCACUUAUAGAUGGAUCCGCGCUGCAUUAGCUAGUUGGUAAGGUAACGGCUUACCAAGGCAACGAUGCAUAGCCGACCUGAGAGGGUGAUCGGCCACACUGGAACUGAGACACGGUCCAGACUCCUACGGGAGGCAGCAGUAGGGAAUCUUCCGCAAUGGGCGAAAGCCUGACGGAGCAACGCCGCGUGAGUGAUGAAGGUCUUCGGAUCGUAAAACUCUGUUAUUAGGGAAGAACAUAUGUGUAAGUAACUGUGCACAUCUUGACGGUACCUAAUCAGAAAGCCACGGCUAACUACGUGCCAGCAGCCGCGGUAAUACGUAGGUGGCAAGCGUUAUCCGGAAUUAUUGGGCGUAAAGCGCGCGUAGGCGGUUUUUUAAGUCUGAUGUGAAAGCCCACGGCUCAACCGUGGAGGGUCAUUGGAAACUGGAAAACUUGAGUGCAGAAGAGGAAAGUGGAAUUCCAUGUGUAGCGGUGAAAUGCGCAGAGAUAUGGAGGAACACCAGUGGCGAAGGCGACUUUCUGGUCUGUAACUGACACUGAUGUGCGAAAGCGUGGGGAUCAAACAGGAUUAGAUACCCUGGUAGUCCACGCCGUAAACGAUGAGUGCUAAGUGUUAGGGGGUUUCCGCCCCUUAGUGCUGCAGCUAACGCAUUAAGCACUCCGCCUGGGGAGUACGACCGCAAGGUUGAAACUCAAAGGAAUUGACGGGGACCCGCACAAGCGGUGGAGCAUGUGGUUUAAUUCGAAGCAACGCGAAGAACCUUACCAAAUCUUGACAUCCUUUGACAACUCUAGAGAUAGAGCCUUCCCCUUCGGGGGACAAAGUGACAGGUGGUGCAUGGUUGUCGUCAGCUCGUGUCGUGAGAUGUUGGGUUAAGUCCCGCAACGAGCGCAACCCUUAAGCUUAGUUGCCAUCAUUAAGUUGGGCACUCUAAGUUGACUGCCGGUGACAAACCGGAGGAAGGUGGGGAUGACGUCAAAUCAUCAUGCCCCUUAUGAUUUGGGCUACACACGUGCUACAAUGGACAAUACAAAGGGCAGCGAAACCGCGAGGUCAAGCAAAUCCCAUAAAGUUGUUCUCAGUUCGGAUUGUAGUCUGCAACUCGACUACAUGAAGCUGGAAUCGCUAGUAAUCGUAGAUCAGCAUGCUACGGUGAAUACGUUCCCGGGUCU
rnacentral:rRNA from 1 species